rnacentral:lncRNA from 1 species
UCUGUUUCCUGGCAACCAGCUCACUACUCCCUGAAGGGCACUUUCAAGAAAGUUCAAUCAAUGGAAGGGUCAAAUGUUUUCUUUUUCAAACGUCCAUUUUGCAUGUAAUGGCUGCUCCAUGCAGAGUUUACGGGUGUUCUCUUGUUCAUGAGAUCUAGCGUCCUUCUGCACAAAUGCAUGUGCUAUGGGUAAGAAAUUACUUCAACUGAGUUUAUUGGCAUUUCUUAGAGCAUAUGAGUUCAAAGAAAAUUAUUACAGGUCUUGGAAAAAUGGACUUCCACUUAACAGAAGGAAAUAUGGAGUCUUCAAGAAGUUAAGUCACAAACCUCAAGCUACAUAAGUCACUGGUCAGCUCUGUGGAUGAGCAGCUCUCCUGAGGGGCACUGUGUACCCUGGGGGCUCCCUCUGUGAGUGUGGAGGCAGUGCCACGGAUCCCUGGAGUCUUGGUGCUCUGGAGAGCUCUCUGUUUCUGACCAACGUGACGCAUUUUCUUUAAUUCCCAGUUGUCACACUGCAGACAUUCAUUCUCCUAUCUAUAGCCAUUGUUACUGGGCGUGCUAGAAAUAAUAAGCUGGAGGGAAUAGGGCAGCCUUUCAGAAGACAGACCCAUGAGAAAUAACCCCAAAUAGAAGCAGUGAGUUGCCAUUUCUCGCUCACUCAGCUGAUGUUCUGGAGCACUUCUCGUGUGCUAGACUCCAUGAGUGCUGGACGGGAGGGACACCAUAGGCGAAUCUGACCCAACCUGUCUAGCAUAGAACUGCAAAUAAGUAGAAAAGACUGUGUUAUGUUAACCUUGGCCAAGUUAACUUGGACCUUAGUUUCCUAAUGUAAAAGGAGGCUUGGGCCAGGUGGUUCCCUAAGAUGUGUUUUAAUUCUCUGAUUCAUAUUUAUAUGAAACUUUACCCUAAGUUCCUUAAAGAAAUCCUAAAGGACAGAGGGAUAUAAAAAGAAACAUAAACAUUUUAAAUGAUUUUAGAACAUCUUAAUUUCCUCUCCAUAAUGUCUUAGAAUGAACUAAUAAUGAUGGCUUCAUCCAGGGAGCCAAUUUUAGCUCAACAUUUAGGAGUCAUUGUGGACAAUUCCCAAGGGCCUCAACUGUCCCUUCCUUUGUUUUCCUUUUUGCCCCUUCUGGUUUGCUUCUGCUCAAGUUUUCCAUGUCAAUUUUUUGCCAUCUCUCCCUGCCUGCUGGUUCCUCCAUAUGGUUUACUGCCCGUGUUAAUUCACUUUUAUUUGACCCCUAGAACCAUCCAUCAAAUUCUCAUGUGGCUAUUGGCAUAUCAUUGUUUUAGUAGGGGGCUCAGAGCUUUCCAUUGAUUUCUGGCCAAAAUUCCUGUAACUCUUGCUGCUCUUUCUUCCUCCAUCCUCAUCUGUCUUUAGCUGUUAAAAAGUGAUAUUAGCAUUUAGGGGACUUCCCCCAUCCACUCUCAUAUUUCCUUCCCCCAAAUCUCAGUUUUCAAAAAUGAACAAAGUAAUAAUGCAGGAGACACUAUUAUGCUAAGAAAACCAGGAUUUUACUUAUUAAAGAAGUGGAGAUUCAAAUCAUAAUAGAUUUGAAUUUUCUUUGGAAAACUUAUUACGUUCUAUUAAGUUGUAUGUGAGUUAGGCUCACAAGCUAUGGUUUGUAUUGUUAUAAUUACCAGAUGGAAUAAAGAUUAUAAAACACACUGAAGAAGGAAAUGCAGCUUGAGAAUAUUUUAAAAGUGUUAAUUCAAGGCAUUUCAAUUUUUUUAUUAGCCCCUUUGUAAUUACAAAGUACAAGUUAAAUGAAAGUACAAGCUAAAUGAAACUAAAGAAUAGGAUAAAAGAAGGAAGAUAUUUUAAAGGACUCAAUUUAAUGUAAUUGUCAGACAUUCCCAGUUUUGCCCAAAGGCACCUCCAUCCAUCUGUCCAUCUAUCCAUUCAAUAACUGGGCACUGAAGGGGUAGGCGUAUGGUACAUACAACAAACGAAUUGGAUGUUGUCUCUUCUAUGCAUCUUUCAUUCUAAUGGGUGGAGACCAAAAAACGAGAACAAAAAAACAAGUAAACAAAUAAAAGAACAUAAUAAUUUCAAAAUGUGGUAAGUUCUAUGAGAAAUGGUGGAGGGGAGCAGAUGUUAGAGAAUGCCCUGGGGAACACUUUAGGGUCCUAACGUCUGAGGAGGUGGCAUUGGAGAGGAAGCCUGACGAUGAGAAAGAACUAAUCAUACAGAUAGGCAAACAAAGAGUGUUCUGAGGUGGAAAUAUUAAUGUUCUUUACAGGGAAAAUGAACUCCCACCCCAGAAACGCAUUUUCUGAAAGGGCUUUAAGAUGGUGAGAGAAACGGCCAGUCAGGAGACAGUUGUGUACACCGAACUCUAGCUGAGGAAACAGUAACAAGAAGCCACAUCCUGAUUCGCAUCCUCCUCCCAAAACCCUGCAACUUCCUGAAUUCCCGUGCUCCUCAGGCGGGACUUCCUGUUGGAGAUGGAGCUAAAGAAGCUGAAAAACUCCUCCAUCCUUCCUAAGAUAGAUCUCAUUUAUGCAUGAGGUCAGACAAAUUUCCCUAAUGCUGCCCUUGAGGGGAUAUCCAGGGAUAACAAAGGCUGUCUUCCAUGCCUCUCCCCGAAUCCAGAUGUAAACCAGAAAACAUAAAAUAAAAAGCCAAAAAUCAUUCCAAAAAGUCGACAUUAAAUUGACAAAAAGACCACGUGUGUUCUACUUGGCCUGUUUUACAUGGUUUGUCUGAAUUCUCUCCCACCUCCCCAUCCUGCCAAGACAUCAGGGACGUAUUGACUUUCAUUUCCUUGAAAUAGUUAAUUUUUGCAACCAAGGUUCCAAACAGGAGGUUUAAACUGGGGAUCCACUCACUCUGUGUGUAGGUCAUUUAAGAGCUCAAUCUCAUCUUUGAAAUAUAGAUUAGCCAGGAGAGUAUGAGUUCAGCAUUUCUAUGUAAUGUUGUUUCAUUGAUCCUGCAGGCCAACUGGACAUGGCUUCAGACGGAUACCUAAAAAUUAGUUUUAAAACUUUCCC